rnacentral:rRNA from 1 species
GGAAUCUUCGGCAAUGGACGAAAGUCUGACCGAGCAACGCCGCGUGAGUGAAGAAGGUUUUCGGAUCGUAAAACUCUGUUGUUAGAGAAGAACAAGGAUGAGAGUAACUGUUCAUCCCUUGACGGUAUCUAACCAGAAAGCCACGGCUAACUACGUGCCAGCAGCCGCGGUAAUACGUAGGUGGCAAGCGUUGUCCGGAUUUAUUGGGCGUAAAGCGAGCGCAGGCGGUUUCUUAAGUCUGAUGUGAAAGCCUUCGGCUUAACCGGAGAAGUGCAUCGGAAACCGGGAGACUUGAGUGCAGAAGAGGACAGUGGAACUCCAUGUGUAGCGGUGAAAUGCGUAGAUAUAUGGAAGAACACCAGUGGCGAAGGCGGCUGUCUGGUCUGUAACUGACGCUGAGGCUCGAAAGCAUGGGUAGCGAACA